rnacentral:rRNA from 1 species
GAUGAACGCUGGCGGCGUGCUUAACACAUGCAAGUCGAACGGUGAACGAGGGAGCUUGCUCCCUCCGGAUCAGUGGCGAACGGGUGAGUAACACGUGAGCAAUCUGCCCCGAACUCUGGGAUAAGCGCUGGAAACGGCGUCUAAUACCGGAUACGACGCGCGAAGGCAUCUUCUGCGCGUGGAAAGAAUUUCGGUUCGGGAUGAGCUCGCGGCCUAUCAGCUAGUUGGUGAGGGAACGGCUCACCAAGGCGACGACGGGUAGCCGGCCUGAGGGGGUGACCGGCCACACGGGGACGGAGACACGGGCCAGACUCCUACGGGAGGAAGCAGUGGGGAGUAUUGCACAAUGGGCGCAAGCCUGAUGCAGCAACGCCGCGGGAGGGACGACGGCCUUCGGGUUGUAAACCUCUUUUAGUAGGGAAGAAGCGAAAGUGACGGUACCUGCAGAAAAAGCACCGGCUAACUACGUGCCAGCAGCCGCCGUAACAC